GACAGCAGUAGCCACGGUAAUACAGAGGGUGCGAGCGUUAAUCGGAUUUACUGGGCGUAAAGCGUGCGUAGGCGGCUUCUUAAGUCGGAUGUGAAAUCCCUGAGCUUAACUUAGGAAUUGCAUUCGAUACUGGGAAGCUAGAGUAUGGGAGAGGAUGGUAGAAUUCCAGGUGUAGCGGUGAAAUGCGUAGAGAUCUGGAGGAAUACCGAUGGCGAAGGCAGCCAUCUGGCCUAAUACUGACGCUGAGGUACGAAAGCAUGGGGAGCAAACAGGAUUAGAUACCCGCGUAGUCCCUGUCUCUUAUAA
rnacentral:rRNA from 1 species